GAGAACCUGCCACUCUUGUCGCGAGUUCGUUGGUGCGGCCGAGCAGACACUUCCGCCCUGGACGCGGAGAAGCCGCCGUCCGAAAAAUAACUGAUGAGCACGGAAGAAAAGAAAAGAGACACUCAUUUACAC
ensembl:ncRNA R01E6.10 ncRNA